UACAGAGGUCUCAAGCGUUGUUCGGAUUCAUUGGGCGUAAAGGGUGCGUAGGCGGCGCGGUAAGUCGGGUGUGAAAUCUCGGAGCUUAACUCCGAAACUGCAUUCGAUACUGCCGUGCUUGAGGACUGGAGAGGAGACUGGAAUUUACGGUGUAGCGGUGAAAUGCGUAGAUAUCGUAAGGAAGACCAGUGGCGAAGGCGGGUCUCUGGACAGUUCCUGACGCUGAGGCACGAAGGCCAGGGGAGCAAACAGGG
rnacentral:rRNA from 1 species